GAUAAACGCUGCGGCGCACAUAAGACAUGCAAGUCGAACGAACUUAAUUGAGAGCUUGCUCUCAAAGCGGUUAGUGCGGACUGGUGAGUAACACGUAAGCAACCUGCCUAUUAGAGGGGAAUAACAGCGAGAAAUCGUUGCUAAUACCGCAUAUGCUGCGAGUAUCGCAUGAUACAAGCAGGAAAGGAGCAAUCCGCUAAUAGAUGGGCUUGCGUCUGAUUAGUUAGUUGGUGGGGUAACGGCCUACCAAGACGAUGAUCAGUAGCCGGACUGAGAGGUUGAACGGCCACAUUGGGACUGAGAUACGGCCCAGACUCCUACGGGAGGCAGCAGUCGGGAAUAUUGCGCAAUGGAGGAAACUCUGACGCAGUGACGCCGCGUGCAGGAAGAAGGUUUUCGGAUUGUAAACUGCUUUUAACAGGAAAGAAAAAAAUGACGGUACCUGUUGAAUAAG
rnacentral:rRNA from 1 species